AUUGAACGCUGGCGGCAGGCCUAACACAUGCAAGUCGAGCGCGCGGCGGACGGGUGAGUAAUGUAUGGGGAUCUGCCUGAUGGCGGGGGAUAACUACUGGACACGGUCUCUAAUACCGCAUCCCAUCAGAUGAACCCAUAUGGGAUUAGCUAGGAGGUAAGGUAACGGCUUACCUAGGCGACGAUCCCUAGCUGGUCUGAGAGGAUGAUCAGCAACACUGGGACUGAUACACGUCCCAGACUCCUACGGGAGGCAGCAGGGGGGAAUAUUGCACAAUGGGCGCAAGCCUGAUGCAGCCAUGCCGCGUGUAGGAAGAAGGCCUUCGGGUUGUAAAGUACUUUCAGUCGGGAGGCGUUACCGACAGAAGAAGCACCGGCUAACUCCGUGCCAGCAGCCGCGGUAAUAC
rnacentral:rRNA from 1 species